rnacentral:rRNA from 1 species
UACGUAGGUGGCAAGCGUUGUCCGGAAUUAUUGGGCGUAAAGCGCGCGCAGGCGGUCCCUUAAGUCUGAUGUGAAAGCCCACGGCUCAACCGUGGAGGGUCAUUGGAAACUGGGGGACUUGAGUACAGAAGAGGAAAGCGGAAUUCCAUGUGUAGCGGUGAAAUGCGUAGAGAUGUGGAGGAAUACCGGUGGCGAAGGCGGCAUCCUGGACCGACAUUGACGCUGAACGGCGAAAGCUAGGGGAGCAAACGGG